AUUGAAGCUGACCACUCUUUAUUCUAUCGGCAUUCUGAUUCACGUCUUUGUAUUUAUCUAGUGGUCUAUGUUGACGACAUUGUUAUUACCGGCAAUGACCAGGAUGGUAUUACUAAAUUGAAGCAACAUCUCUUUCAACACUUUCAGACUAAGGAUCUGGGCACAUUAAAGUAUUUUCUUGGUAUUGAGGUCUAGCUCAGGUAUUGUGAUCUCACAACGGACGUAUGCCUUAGAUAUUCUUGAGGAGACAGGGAUGACAGGUUGUAGACCUGUUGACACUCCGAUAGUAUGCCUUAGAUAUUCUUGAGGAGACAGGAAUGAUAGGUUGUAGACUUGUUGACACUCCGAUGGAUCCGAACUCUAAACUUCUUCCAGGACAGAGGGAGCCUCCUAACGAUCAUGCAAGAUA
rnacentral:lncRNA from 1 species